ACAUACAAGUAAUAACUUUGAGAUUUCAUUACAACUAAUAAAGAGUUUAUUAAGAACAAAAGAAAAAUAAUUCAAAGAAAAUGGGUAUAAUGGCCAACAAAGGCAAGUCAAAUAAUGAAGAAAAAGUCAAAAUAGUAGGGCCGGUUCAGUUCAACAUAAUCAUAGAACUGCCAUCACCGAGGCCCAAUAGUAUCUCAGUUCAAAACAAACAAUGGAUAACAAUAAUAUAAUACAGGAAUCAAAAUAGUCAAUGAGAUACACAACUGUCUCUUCUCAAGGCAAAAUUUGGUCUUUUACAUACGACCCAAAUCUGGUCCUUAUAAAAAGAACACAUACAGGAAAGGAUAAGAGACUAAGUAGACAUAAUAUUUACAUAAACCAACUUAUUAACAACAAAUAAAUGAAGUCUACUUAGCUCGUUAGUGAAAGAUACAUUCCCAAAAUGUGGCACACUCCUCUUGAUUAACACAGUCAGAGCAGAACAUCAAAACUAUCAUAUAAACAUUAUGGAGAUUUAGUUCACAAUAAUGUACAGUGGUCAGCUCAGAGACUGAAGAGGAAGUGGCAAUUGUAAACAGCUGACAGGGACUUAAAUCAAGUAAUAAAGGGGGCUAACUCUCAUAAAAAAUAAAGGUAGCCACCCUUAUUGUCCCUCUUGUCACAUCAUCCCUAUAGAUUGCACACUAAAACUAUCGAAGAAAGAAUA